rnacentral:rRNA from 1 species
AUUGAACGCUGGCGGCAGGCCUAACACAUGCAAGUCGAGCGGAGCGGCGGACGGGUGAGUAAUUCCUAGGAAUCUGCCUGGUUGUGGGGGCUAACGACCGGAAACGGGCGCUAAUCCCGCAUAAUAUCCGAUGAGCCUAGGUCGGAUUAGCUGGUUGGGGGGUAAAAGGCCUACCAAGGCGACGAUCCGUAACUGGUCUGAGAGGAUGACCAGCCACACUGUAACUGAGACGCGGUCCAGACUCCUACGGUAGGCAGCAGUGGGGAAUAUUGCACAAGGGGCGCAAGCCUGAUGCAGCCAUGCCGCGUGUGUGAAGAAGGCCUUCGGGUUGUAAAGCACUUUCAGCGGGGAGGCGUUACCCGCAGAAGAAGCACCGGCUAACUCCGGGCCAGCAGCCGCGGUAAUAC